rnacentral:rRNA from 1 species
UUUGAUCCUGGCUCAGAACGAACGCUGGCGGCAGGCUUAACACAUGCAAGUCGAGCGCCCGCAAGGGGAGCGGCAGACGGGUGAGUAACGCGUGGGAAUCUACCCAUCUCUACGGAACAACUCCGGGAAACUGGAGCUAAUACCGUAUACGUCCUAAGGGAGAAAGAUUUAUCGGAGAUGGAUGAGCCCGCGUUGGAUUUAGCUAGUUGGUGGGGUAAUGGCCUACCAAGGCGACGAUCCAUAGCUGGUCUGAGAGGAUGAUCAGCCACACUGGGACUGAGACACGGCCCAGACUCCUACGGGAGGCAGCAGUGGGGAAUAUUGGACAAUGGCGCAAGCCUGAUCCAGCCAUGCCGCGUGAGUGAUGAAGGCCCUAGGGUUGUAAAGCUCUUUCAACGGUGAAGAUAAUGACGGUAACCGUAGAAGAAGCCCCGGCUAACUUCGUG